rnacentral:tRNA from 5 species
GUUAAUGUAGCUUAAAUAAAAGUGUGACACUGAAAAUGCCAAGAUAGAUCUUAAAACAUCUCAUAAACA